AAAACUUUUUCGAAAGAAAAAAAUCUGUUCUUUAUCAGUUUUAAUAUCUGAUACGUCCCCCAUCCGGGGACUACAUAUUAAAUGGAUUUUUAGAUCACGGAGCUGGAGCCGGGGCUUGCUCCGUCCACUCCAUGCAUCGGCCUGGUAUUGCAGUGUCUCCAGGAACGGUGUGCUUUCC
rnacentral:snRNA from 1 species